rnacentral:rRNA from 1 species
UGGGGAAUAUUGCGCAAUGGGCGAAAGCCUGACGCAGCCACGCCGCGUGAGUGAUGAAGGCCUUCGGGUUGUAAAGCUCUGUCGGGAGGGACGACGGUAGAAAUACCAGACGGUACCUCGCAAGAAAGCACCGGCUAACUCUGUGCCAGCAGCCGCGGUAAUACAGAGGGUGCAAGCGUUGCUCGGAUUUACUGGGCGUAAAGCGUACGCAGACGGCAAGGUAGGUCGAGUGUGAAAGCCCCGGGCUCAACCCGGGAAUUGCAUCCGAAACCCCCUUGCUCGAGUAUGGGAGAGGGAAGCGGAAUUCCUGGUGUAGAGGUGAAAUUCGUAGAUAUCAGGAGGAACAUCAGCGGCGAAGGCGGCUUCCUGGUCCAUUACUGACGUUCAGGUACGAAAGCGUGGGUAGCAAACAGG